rnacentral:rRNA from 1 species
CACAUGAAGUAGCAAUACAGAUGGUGGCGACCGGCGCACGGGUGAGUAACACGUAUGCAACCUACCUUCAACAGGAGAAUAACCCGGCGAAAGUCGGACUAAUACUCCAUAAUACAGGGAUCCCGCAUGGGAAUAUUUGUUAAAGAUUUAUCGGUUGAAGAUGGGCAUGCGUUCCAUUAGCUAGUUGGUGAGGUAACGGCUCACCAAGGCAACGAUGGAUAGGGGAACUGAGAGGUUUAUCCCCCACACUGGUACUGAGACACGGACCAGACUCCUACGGGAGGCAGCAGUGAGGAAUAUUGGUCAAUGGAGGCAACUCUGAACCAGCCACGUCCGCGUGAAGGAUGACGGCCCUACGGGUUGUAAACUUCUUUUGUAAGGGAAUAAAGUUUAGUACGUGUACUAUUUUGCAUGUACCUUACGAAUAAGGAUCGGCUAACUCCGUGCCAGCAGCUGC